rnacentral:RNase_P_RNA from 1 species
AGUCGGACAGAUGGUCGCGGCUGCAAGUGCCGAAAGGCCGCAGGUGAGGAAAGUCCGGGCUUCAUAGGGCAGGGUGCCGGAUAACGUCCGGUGGAGGCGACUCCCAGACCAGUGCAACAGAAAUAAACCGCCAGAGACCUCUCUGGUAAGGAUGGAAAGGCGAGGUAAGAGCUCACCGCCUGACUGGUAACAGUCAGGGCACAUGUAAACUCCACUCGAAGCAAGACCGAACAGAAAGCAAUGCAGCGGCCCGCUGUGCUUUCGGGUAGGUCGCUUGAGCCGGUUGGUAACGACCGGCCUAGAUAGAUGACCAUCUAAUAACAUAACCCGGCUUAUCGUCCGACUCA